GACGAACGCUGGCGGCGUGCUUAACACAUGCAAGUCGAACGGUAAGGCCCUUCGGGGUACACGAGUGGCGAACGGGUGAGUAACACGUGGGUGAUCUGCCCUGCACUUCGGGAUAAGCCUGGGAAACUGGGUCUAAUACCGGAUAGGACCACUGCCUGCAUGGGUGGUGGUGGAAAGCUUUUGCGGUGUGGGAUGGGCCGUCGGCCUAUCAGCUUGUUGGUGGGGUGAUGGCCUACCAAGGCGACGACGGGUAGCCGGCCUGAGAGGGUGACCGGCCAGAGUGGGACUGAGAUACGGCCAAGACUCCUACGGGAGGCAGCAGUGGGGAAUAUUGCACAAUGGGCGCAAGGCGGAUGCAGCGACGCCGCGUGAGGGAUGACGGCCUUCGGGUUGUAAACCUCUUUCAGCACAGACGAAGCGCAAGUGACGGUAGGUGCAGAAGAAGGACCGGCCAACUACGUGCCAGCCGCCGCGGUAA
rnacentral:rRNA from 1 species